GCUGCCCCUGGCUCGCUCCCUCACUUGCUCGCUGGAGGUAAAAUAACGGAAAAUAUGCUCCUCGAGGGCUUCGGCUCCUCCGGAGCAAGCGAGCAGCGUGGUAUUUUCCCGCGGCUGUACCAUCCCAUCCCCUUCAAGUUUAACUCAUUCACAUUUUCCUACGGAAGUUUCCCAGCUCGCUUUUCUCGCAAGCAAACAGGCAAACAACCCUAAAGCUACUUCGUUCUUUCAAACAGGGGCUUCUUGGGCUAGAGUAGUGGAAGCGGGGGGAAGGCGAGCCGAGUAGCUCGUGUCUGCAGAACGCAUCCCAAACUGUGGAAAGGGGCUUGGCACCGGAUUGCCCAGGUUUUAGGCAUAAGCUGCCUCUUUUCGUCUCCCCAAAGAACAGUGUAAGUGAGCUUACAAUGUGACAGGAUGUUCCGAAGUGUUUCGAUGGUGUCCCGCUGCAUCGCCCAGAGCUGCUUGUUGUCUGUAUGGAAUCGUGACCGUAGCAGUAGCCGUCUGGGGAAGCACUCUGGAGGGAUUUUUCAUUGAACCUCUGUCCUCAUCACAAACUGUGGGUCCUUUACUUCCUUAAGCAAUUGGAAUCAUAAAUCUCAAUGAAAGACUAAAUCCAGGAUCACUAAGGAAAAGUGCUCUAUAAUUUUUGGUAACAAUAAUCUGGUCCUAAAUUUCCAUCAUGAAGCCCUUCAUGGUCACAAACAAGCCUACAUCAGCCAACCAUCCGUUCACUGCUUCCUUUUCAACAUAUUGUUCCCUGGCUUCACACAGAUGCUAUCCAUGUUCAAUUCUUGGAUCGUAGGCAUUUCAUAGACCCCAUCCAGAGGACUCCUGAUUACUUGCCUGGUUAUCUAGACUCUUGAUCUUCAGCAUAUUCCUGGUUCCUCUGGCCCUAGUUACCAGCUUGCCUCUGCUCUCCUUCACUGCUGUCCAAAGUAUUGGCUCUGAGAGCUAACUAGUAGGAAGUGGGACUCUAUUAAGGAAACAAAUUCAACAUACAUCACUUAUGGUCUUGCAAAUAUUAAACUCUUCCAGUCCUCUACUUAUUAUUGGGAAAUGCACUUCAUUGAUAGUUCUUUUUUGGUGGUGGUGGUGGUGGGGUGUUGGAAAUGGAGCCAUGAGAUUCUAUUGUGUUUUUAUUGGCUUCUAGGCAAUCCAUACCAACCUUCUCAUUUCUGUAAGUCAAUGACUUCAACAAAGUACCAGAAAACAGAGCAGGAUCAACUAGGCUAUGUUGCAGGAUUUCGUUUUUUGCCAUGAAUUUUUGGAAAUGGGGGCUAGAUGAAAAGCGAGGGACUUCCCAGUCUAGUGAUUUCGACUAAGCUAAACAGUCACUCUUGUUUGAACUUUGGACCUUUGUGAUAUUUUAUCAAAUGUAAAAAGGAACCUAGUUAUCUGGCAUUCGUGUUUCUAACAUUUUUAUAGUGAUCACAAUAUUAUUGAUUUUUAAAUUAAAUAUAACUUUUAAAAAUAGCUAGCUGCAUUCUUGUGUGUAAUUUUAUUGUGGCUUGGGACCAAACUUUUUGGUAUAGGAAGGAAUUCAGGAUGGUGGGAUAGGAAGGGAGCUGAAACUCAAGUAAGAACCCUAAUGGGAUCCCAUCACUACCACUUAGUGGUGGGAUGACCUUGGGUGAGUUACUUCAGUUGUCAUACCUCUAAAAUGGAGAAACUUGCAUUAACUAGCCCAAAGAAGAGUUGUGAGGGCCA